GAUGAACGCUGGCGGCGUGCCUAAUACAUGCAAGUCGAGCGAACAGACGAGGAGCUUGCUCCUCUGACGUUAGCGGCGGACGGGUGAGUAACACGUGGAUAACCUACCUAUAAGACUGGGAUAACUUCGGGAAACCGGAGCUAAUACCGGAUAAUAUAUUGAACCGCAUGGUUCAAUAGUGAACGACGGUUUUGCUGUCACUUAUAGAUGGAUCCGCGCCGUAUUAGCUACUUGGUAAGGUAACGGCUUACCAAGGCAACGAUGCGUAGCCGACCUGGGAGGGUGGUGAGCCACACAGAAACUGAGACACGGUCCAGACUCCUACGGGAGUCAGCAGUAGGGAAUCUUCCGCAAAAGGCGAAAGCCUGACGGAGCAACGCCGCGGGAGUGAUGAAGGUCUUCGGAUCGUAAAACUCUGUUAGUAGGGAAGAACAAAUGUGUAAGUAACUAUGCACGUCUUGACGGUACCUAAUCAGAAAGCCACGGCUAACUACGUG
rnacentral:rRNA from 1 species